rnacentral:sRNA from 1 species
GCCCGUGGCCCCGUUUCUCCCCCAGGCAGUUCCUGUGGAGCUUCCGGCUGCCCGGCGAGGCCCAGAAGAUAGACCGGAUGAUGGAGGCCUUUGCCACCCGAUACUGCCUCUGCAACCCGGGCGUCUUCCAGUCCACAGGUGAUGCGCCCGCCUUGGCCUCCCACAGUGCUGAGAUUACAGGCAUGAGCCACCAUGCCAAGCCAAAGUUACUCAAUCCAUACAUCAACCGUUUGAAACACCUGCUACGUGCUGUCCUUCUCCAUCAUCAUGCUCAACA